CAUCAUCACAUCUCACGCUGGGCAGAAAUCACAAUUCCACCACCUGAUGACCUCCUGACCCACAAUGGCCACGGCUAAUUGACUGACUAGCCUACCCUUGGAACUACUCCAGGAAAGAAAGAAGGUGGUCCUGCCCUGAAGACCUUACACAGUGCAAUAGCUCUCUUGCUAUGGCCUGGGAAAGCAGUGGAAGAUGGCCGAAGUAAUGCCCCUGAGACCUGAAAGAAACUCCCAGCUCCUGGCUUGAGAGCAGCCCAGCUCUGGCUGUUGCAGACAUUUGGG